GUUUAGUUUUUAUAAUGUAUCGUGUAUUUUUUUUUUUAUAUUGGUGGCGUGUUUUACCAUAUUUGAAGCGUUGCUGUAGACUUUUCUUACGUUACUGAGCCUAGAAAUAAAUAAUAUGUUCUCUGACGUUCCUAAAAUUGGUGAAUAAGCUUUAAUAUUGUCGAUAGAGGUUUGUUUUGAUCAAACCCUUACGGAAUGAUAUACUCUUUUAAGUUUUUCAUCUCGACUUGGUGAUCUAAAAUGGCGGCAGUCCAGUCCACCUUAUAUAUCGUCCUCGCCAUGUAACACCUUCUCCACGGCCUUCUCCACCUCCUGCUCCACCUCAACAUUCUCCACAGCCUUCCCCUUGACCUGCACGGCCUACUAAACGCUCGUCUUUGCCCAACACGCGUUAAUAUUAAGCCUUUAGAGGGAAGAUAUUGUGGGCCAUGGUGCCAAGUUGUGAUUUUCAAGGGUGGUUUAAGCGCCAAGUGUCUACGAGAGUGCCACAGAGGGUAUGGCCGUAGUAUUCAAGGGCCAUGGACCACCGAGGGGCCAUUAGAGGGAAGAUACUGUGUGCCAUGGUGCCAAGUUGUGAUUUUCAAGGGUGGUUUAAGCGCCAAGUGUCUACGAGAGUGCCACAAAGGGUAUGGCCGUAGUAUUCAAGGGCCAUGGACCACCGAGGGGCCAUUACAGGGAAGAUACUGUGUGCCAUGGUGCCAAGUGUACGAGGGUGCCACAGAGGGUUAGGUAGACGCCCCUGCCAUGGCCUUACUCAACUAGGGCCAUGGACCACCGGAGGGCCAUUGGAGGGGAGAAAUAAUGGUCCAUAGUGCCAUAUUUUGUGAUGUUCAAGGAGUAGCUGUGAAUGGCCUCAAUGAAGAAUGCGAGAAGUCUGAACAUGAGAUACAGGAGGAGGAGGAGGAGGAGGAGGGCCUGAUACAACAAGAAUGUGGCUUCACCUACAGGGGAUGCAUUUGAGAUUAAGGUCUGUGCGGAGGUGGGGGAGGAAGACUGCAGGAGGCUGUAGAGAGGUGGAUUGGGUGAAGGGGGACUUGACAACACUACAAUGCAAGCUGGGCUAAGGUAAUGUAUGACUGGUCUUGUUACGCUCAAAGGGAAGGGCGAUCCCAGAUACGUCGCAGAGGUGCUGUUUUGGCCUGGCCGUAGUGAGUUUCUUUAUGUGCACCAUUUAAUUCUGCAUGUUUUCAUAUAUAAUACAUGAUGAUUAUGUUGAGUUUAUGGCUGAAAGCUUGUUAUAUUCAAUAGCGACAUUUGAAAUUUAGCGCGCGCGGCGAUCUCGGAUACAGCAGAGGGCGCUGUUUUGGCCCGGCCGUAGUGAGUUUCUUUAUGUGCACCAUUUAAUUCUGCAUGUUUUCGUAUAUAAUACAUGAUGAUUAUGUUGAGUUUAUGGCUGAAAACUUGUUAUAUUCAAUAGCGACAUUUGAAAUUUGGCGCGCACGGUGAUCUCGGAUACGGUCCGGGGCGCUGUUUUGGCCCGGCCGUAGUGAAGGGGUUAAGUGUAGUCUAUGAAGGCUACUUAUCUAUAAGCAUUUAAGUGUAAGGUUCUGUGGGGUAACUAAUCUAAGUGUAAUGGUGCAUUCUGUGGGAAUUACUUAAGUGUAAUCUAUGAAGGCUACAUCUAUAAGUAUAUAAGUAUGUAAGGUCCUGUGGGAUAACUAAUCUAAGGUUAUGUACAACUACUGGUUCUGGUGCUGUGGGUAACUCCUACAAACCCUUUCUACUAUGGCUAUUAAUUAACAAAAACCUCUUACUUUCAGCUUGUGUACUGGGUUAAAAAAUAGUUAAUGUUAGAGCCGGAAGCAUCUGACAAUCCCAUCUCUUUCUUACAGGCCAAGCACUACAGAGGAGGAGGAGGAGAAGAAGGAGGAAGAAGAAGAAGAAGAAGAAGAAGGAGGAGGAGGAGGAAGAAGGAGGAAGAAGAAGGAGAAAGAGGAGGAGGAGGAGGAGGAGGCAACUUAUAAAUAUAGACAAGUUUAUGUGUCUAGGAAAAUAUUUAAAUGAAUUGUAUUAUGUAAAGUAUUGAAUUUAAAAUAUAUCUACUAAUAAUUUCUAUGCAUGUUUACAGGGUUACAUAUUUAAGCUGUAAUAUAAUUUGUAUGUAUUUAAAUGGGGUUUUAAGUAUAAGGUGUUUGGUAUUGCUAUACUUAUAAAAUCUUCGGUUUUGGGGUAUAUAAUUCUAAGUAAGUGUUUCCCUACGUUAUUUAAGUGUAAAGUAAGUGUGUAAGGUAUUAAGUUAUAUAUUAAAGUGUGUACCGGGUUCUCUAAUAAGUGUGUAGUGAUGGGAAGUAUUUAAGUGUAAUGUGUAAAGGUUACAUAUAUAUAUAUAUAAGUAUUUAAGUGGGAGCAGCAAGUAGUGGGCUUUAUUUUUAUACACUUUUUUGCCCUUGAAAAAAAAAAUACUGUGAAAUCUUUAAGUGUACUGUAUGGAGGCUAUACAUUUAUAAGUAUGUGUAACGUCCUGUGAGGGCUAACUAAUGUAAGGGUGAUUUCAUAAGUGUUACCGUAGUGGUGUGACUUAAUCAGCAACCUCUACUGCAAUUAGUCUGAGUACAAUUACUGGUUCUGGUACUCUGAGUAUUAACAAAACCUUUUAAUUUCAGCUACCAAGGACAACCUCUGCUGCUCCGGGUAUCAACUCCUGCACUCCUGGGACUGGCAUAACAUCUGCAUGCCCUUGUAACAACUCACUCUGCUUCUGCUAUUCAUAACACCCCGUUCUGCGUCUGCUUUCGUAACAAAGGGCAUGGCUUCUGUGUACUAACUCCUGCUCGCUUAACCCGCAUGGAUUUUGCAUAACACCUCCUAUAGUCUUCGCCCUUCCUUCAUAACUAAUCGCACGGCUUUGCAUGAAGACUCCGGCAACUUACGGCUUAAAUUUCGCAUGAGAACUACUCCUGCUUACGUAUGACAAUUCUCUGUGGCUUUCCUAACAAUUCAUGGAUUUUGCAUAACCCCAUUCCAUUUCCGCUGUCAUGCUAACCCAUACUAGUGCUGACUGGAGUAUCCUAACCCAUAGUCUAAGCUGCCGGCCAGAGCUUCAGGUGACCCCUAACUUGAAGCCUGUCGGAUCAGCGUCUAGCGAGGGAGGUUCCGUCAGGUUCCGUUCCCCCCUAGAGAUGUCUCCACCUUAAAAAAAUGGUUUGACAUCAUUUGAGAGCAGCAGUACAGGCCAGGUAUCAGAGAGGGGUUCAGGCCUAUAUGGGGGCACCUCCGAUAGGCUUGUACCUCAAAAAAUAAAAGAUUGAAAAUUAAAAAAGACUAUGUGAGAAUCCUGACUAUGGAGGGAGAUUAUCCUCAA